GAAAAGUUGAAUCAACUUAGUUGUGGUGGAUUUUUAAAAAUUGUUCUCUCAUUCUCAGCAUUAAUCUACUUGGCAGAACUUUCCUUAGUAGGAAUUGUUGACAGUGAUAAGUUUUUGUCCUGAAGAAAAUUUAUAUCCAUCCUAAAACUUCCUCAGUCUGAUCACAAUUUUAAUUUAUAAAUUCCAGAUUUGAACAAUUUUUGUACUGUCCAGUAACUAUUUUGGAAAAUUAUUCAAUUUGUUCUUCUAAGAAAGUUAUCAAUUCUUUUGUCUCAAUUGUCACAGCUGGCAUUUUGCCCUGGCUACCUCAUGUGAUUAUUUCCUUUGUAACUCAAGAAUAGGUUAACACAAAUGUAACCCUGGAGGGUUGGUGGGUUUAGGGAGGUUAUGUUUAUCAGGAUAAGUAAUGAUAUUGUUUGGAUCUGAAAUGCCUGCCAAAGGCCCAUGUGCUAAAGACUUGGUUCCUAGCCUGCGACACUGUUGGGAGGUGGUGGAACCUUUAACAGGUGGAGCCCAUUUGAGGGAAGUGAGGUCAUUGGGGGUGUGCCCUUGGGAGCCUAGCCUUCCCCACCUCCUUCCUGGGCUCCAUGAAGUAAAUAGUCCUCCUCCAACAUGUGCUUCUGCCAUGGUAUAGUGUGAUGCCACAGACCCAAAGGCCACAGGACCAAGCAACCAUGGACUAAAACCUCUGAAACCAUAAAUAAAAAUAAAACUUUCCUCCCAUAAGUUGAUUAUUUCGGAUAUUUUGUCAUACUUACGGAAAGCUAACACAGUAAUAAAUACACUGUAUUGUGAAAACUGCAUUCACAGAGUUGGAUUUAGCAUGCUUUACUCAUAAUCUCUCUUUACACAGAAGAUUUUAAAACCAUAUUUUCUUCAAGAUAAACUUCUUUUCAAAGUAUGUUUUCAAAUUUAGUGACACUUCUUUUAAAACUUCCCUCUUGCUGGGCAUAGUGGUGUUUGGCUGUAAUCCCAGUGACUUGGGAGGCUGAGGCAGGAGGAUUGCUAGUUCAAAGCCAGCCUCAGCAACACAGAAAGGCCCUAAGCAACUUAACGAGACCUUGUCUCAUAAAAAUUUUUAAAAAGGGCUGGGGAUGUGGCUCUGUAGUUAAGUGCCCCUGGUUCAAACUCUAGUACCCAAAUAAAAAAACAACAAAACAAAUAAAAACCUACUUCCCUCUCUACUAAAAACUAAAAAAGUAGAAUCGAACCUUAAACCUUACAUAUUUAUUGGUGGUAAUUGCCUCAAAGUUGAGCAAAAUCACCUUUGUGAUGUCUUGCUGCCACUUCAUUUAUACUGUCAGGAUGCCUUUCUUGGGAGGUUCCUAGGAGGUGGUGCAACAAACUCAGACUCUGCAGGUGAAGAGUGAGGGCCUUGUUAUGGAGAAUAUAUGGAAGAGGGAGCCCCAUUCCUCAUCAGUUUCUAAAAGCUGCUGCAUCUUCCCCAUUUUUUCUCUUGAUGAAGUAACUAAAUGAUGGAGAUGGUCACCAUGAUGAUCAAGUGCAAUGGAAAAUGCUUGAAAGGUGAUCAGUGGAGAGCUCACUGCACAUCAUUAGACAUUUCAGAGGGACUGGCUGUCUUGAAGGUGUCUCACGGUGUCAGGAUAUUAGGUGGCUGGUUUGUUGUCUGUUUUUGGUUUGGAAAUUUUCGUGUUGGUUGUAACUUACCUCAGGACGGCUUGUGUCCACGUAUCUGUGAUCCCUUGCACAUCAAGAAUCUUAUCAUUUUGGUCUCAUCCAUCUCUGGUUGAGAAAGCCUUUGUAUUUUAAAAAUAUAUUUAUUUUCGAAUUUAAUAUUGAAAAAAAUCAGAAUAUGGAGACAGGAUGGAAAAUAAUUACCCAAAAUUACUCAACCCCCAAGAUGGUUAUUAUUAUUAUUACAAUUUUGCCCUUGAUUUCCUG
rnacentral:lncRNA from 1 species